AGUAAAUAUAAGACAUAAAUCCAUGGGAUUUUGGAGCGUUGUUGGUGAUGUUGUUGUUGGAACUGUUAAAGUUUCAGUCUCAGCUGUCGUAUUAACUACAGCUGUAGUUGGUGGAACCGCCUUAUCUCUUGUUCCAGUUGUUGACCUGCAGCAGGAGGUGCUGUAGCUGCAGGGAUGGUAAUCUCGUAAGACAAUUGUGGGUAAACGAUGAAGUGGACACGGACACGGAAAAUGGGAGCAAACAAUUCGUAUGACGGACCACCAAGCGUUUUUUAUCCACCUGCAGAGUAUAUGCAAUAAAAGAAAGUGGGAAUAUGUGAUG